GGGUGUGGGUCCCGGCGGUGAGGGCUGAACAGCCCUGGGGUGUGGGGAGACAAAGGGAUCCAAGUCGUGUCUUUCCUGCUUUGGGAAUCGGUGUCCCGGCUGUCUGUGGAACAUCAGAGAAGGUAUGGACUCUGAGCCACAGAAACAGGAUCCAGUAGAGAAGAACCAAGUGUGAUGUUGAAUCUGCUAGAGAGGUUCCUGGAGCAAGAGUGAAGAGAUCAGGCCCCAUCCCUGGGACAUUUCAGGUUCUCUUUCCAAAGGGUGACAGCUUGUGCUGCUUUCUGGGUCCAGUUCAGCACCUCAAGAAUCAGCUAGUCAUUGUGGCCCCCACACCCAGUCCUCUUGGCCCAUGGAGUAGGAUUUCAUUCCCUACCAUCAUCUUCAUGUCCAAUGGGGAGCAUGACACAGCCCAGAUUCCACAUCAGUUUGAUAUGAGUGAAGCAGUUUCUUAUUGAGCCCCAGGAAGAAGAAAUAGUGCAGAAGAGAAGGAAUAAUAAUGGGUCAGCUAGACAGAAGAUGAGAAUCAUCAAACAUGUGUCCCAGUAGCCAGACCUAUCAACAGAGCACAGGACCUUGGGUGCUGGCUACCUGAUGGAAAGGAGAAAGGAAGAAACAUAAGGAGAACAAAUACACAUUCACAUCUCAACAUUGUGACCUGCCAUAUAUGCCUUCCUUGCCGUGUGUAUUCUCUUGCAGAGCUACUAAAAUGGACACAAUCAUUAUUUUUAGCUUAUGUGCAGUAGGGAGCACUAACACAUUCUGCAGAUACUAUUUUCAACCCUUUUUUCCCUGAUGUCUUCAAAGGCUUAGUUUCCCAAGUGCCAUCUAGCUCAAAGUUCAGGCCUAAUUUACUGGCUUUCAUUCAGUUACUCAUGUAGGCCUGUGUAUCUAGAAUCUAAUCUGUAGCAUCCUGGUGAAAUUUAGUUUUUCUGUUUCCAGACUACUACCCAUAUCCCUUGAUUGGCUUAAGGAUGCAUCCCAUUUUGAACUUGAUCUGAUUUUGUAUUACAAGUGCUGGGCAUGUGUAUAUUUUCCUUGCCUUUUAUUAUUCUUAAUUGCACAAGGAAGGUGAUUCAGUGGUGUUUUCAUAUGCAUGUGUUGAUUGCUCCUGAAUAAGCCUGUGACUAAACUUUAACCCUGAAUCCCACUGUUUAAGGGUUUUCCCCCUCUGGAUGCUGUGGAGCUGAGCUCUGGGUGAUCCCAUGCAGACUGUCACCCUUUUACUCCCUUGUGGCAUUCAUUGUUUAGAUUAUUGGGAGGUUAAGCUGAUGAGCCUUCUUUUAAUUCAAGGAGCUUUAUUUGGGAGAGUACAUAAAGAAUGUUGUGAAACUACUUUUAUCUAAAAUCCAGGGAAGUGGAGAUGUCAUCUGACUGUCAAAUCUAAGGUUUAUCUGAGAGACAUGCUUGCCCUUCCCCUAGGCAAUUAUAUUUUCCCUGAAGCUACCAAAAUGGGACUGUCAUGUGGAUAGAUUCAUAAAUUAGUUUUGUGGCCACCUCAUUACCUAAUUCCCUUGGUUUAGGCAUGUUCUUUAUCUGACACCGACCCACUGUGGAAUGGCCGGGGAUACUUAUUUUUUCUCUUUAUUCUUUUUGCUUCAGAACCCAAGUGCUUUUGUUGUAGAUAAAAAUGGGAAAUGCAGGAAAGGUAAAAAAAAAAAUAGAAACCCUUUAGAAGUCUACUACUUGUGAGUAGGCACAUUAAAUAGUUGAAUAUAAUAUUUUUCAGAAAACAAGACCUACCCAUAUGUUGUCUACAAGAAACUCACUUUAAAUACAAAGAUUCAUAUAGAAUAAAAGUAAAUGGGUGGGGAAUAUGCUAACAUCCUAACACUAACCAAAAGAAAGCAGAAGUAGCUAUAUUCAUUUCAGACAGAGCAGACUUCAAAUCAAGGUGAGUUAUCAGGGAUAAAGAAAGGCAUUCUAUAAUGAUUAAAGAAGUCAGUUCUCCAAGACAUAACAGUCUUUAACAUUUAUGUGCUUAACAGCAAAGCAUAAAAAUAUGUGAUGCAAAAACUAGUAGAAUUGCAAAGGGAAGUAUAAUAGAUUGAUCGCAUGAUCACAUCAAUGCAUUUGACAGAAGCAUUUGACAAAAUGCGACACUCAUUCAUGAUUGAAAAAAAAACCUUCUCAGUAAACUAGGAAUAGAGGAGAAAUUCCUCACAUUGAUAAUGAAUAUCUACAAAAAACCUACAGCUAACAUCAUAUUAAUGGUGAGAAACUUAAAGGUUUCCCACUAAAAUCAGGU